ACGGAAGGCAGCAGUGAGGAAUAUUGGUCAAUGGGCGGAAGCCUGAACCAGCCAAGUCGCGUGAAGGAUGAAGGUAUUAUGUAUUGUAAACUUCUUUAGUCGUAGAGAAAUAAGGUGCUCGUGAGCACUGAUGCUAGUAUACGAAGAAUAAGGAUCGGCUAACUCCGUGCCAGCAGCCGCGGUAAUACGGAGGAUCCGAGCGUUAUCCGGAUUUAUUGGGUUUAAAGGGUGCGCAGGCGGCUUUUUAAGUCAGUGGUCAAAUCGUGGGGCUCAACCCCAUCCCGCCAUUGAUACUGGAGAGCUUGAUUGCGGUCGAGGUUGGCGGAAUUCGUCGUGUAGCGGUGAAAUGCAUAGAUAUGACGAAGAACACCGAUUGCGUAGGCAGCUGACCAGACCGUAAAUGACGCUCAUGCACGAAAGUGCGGGGAUCGAACAGGAUUAGAUACCCUGGUA
rnacentral:rRNA from 1 species